rnacentral:rRNA from 1 species
GAUGAAUGCUGGCGGCGUGCCUAACACAUGCAAGUCGAGCGGCAGCGCGAGUAGUUUACUACUUGGCGGCGAGCGGCGGACGGCUGAGUAACGCGUGAGAACAUACCCCAAAGUGAGGGAUAACUGCUCGAAAGGGUAGCUAAUACCGCAUAUGAUCUUAGGAUUAAAGGAUUUAUCCGCUUGGGAGUGGCCUGCGUACGAUUAGAUAGUUGGUGAGGUAAUGGCUUACCAAGUCUACGAUCGUUAGCUGGUCUGAGAGGAUGAGCAGCCAGACUGGAACUGAGACACGGUCCAGACUCCUACGGGAGGCAGCAGUGAGGAAUCUUCCACAAUGGGCGAAAGCCUGAUGGAGCAACGCCGCGUGCAGGAUGAAGGCCUUCGGGUUGUAAACUGCUUUUAUAAGUGAAGAAUAUGACGGUAACUUAUGAAUAAGCACCGGCUAACUACGUGCCAGCAGCCGCCGUAA